CCUGCGCCGGCCCGGGAGCGCCGCGUCCCGCCGGGCCGAACCGAACCGAACCGAGCCGAUCAYCAGUGUCUCAAAUGUAGAAUUAAAUGCUCAAAACGGGCAAUUUUCC